rnacentral:rRNA from 1 species
AGCGGCGGACGGGUGAGUAACACGUGGGUAACCUGCCCAAGAGACUGGAUAACACCUGGAAACAGAUGCUAAUACCGGAUAACAACACUAGACGCAUGUCUAGAGCCUGAAAGAUGGUUCUGCUAUCACUCUUGGAUGGACCUGCGGUGCAUUAGCUAGUUGGUAAGGUAACGGCUUACCAAGGCAAUGAUGCAUAGCCGAGUUGAGAGACUGAUCGGCCACAUUGGGACUGAGACACGGCCCAAACUCCUACGGGAGGCAGCAGUAGGGAAUCUUCCACAAUGGACGAAAGUCUGAUGGAGCAACGCCGCGUGAGUGAAGAAGGGUUUCGGCUCGUAAAGCUCUGUUGGUAGUGAAGAAAGAUAGAGGUAGUAACUGGCCUUUAUUUGACGGUAAUUACUUAGAAAGUCACGGCUAACUACGUGCCAGCAGCCGCGGUAAUACGUAGGUGGCAAGCGUUGUCCGGAUUUAUUGGGCGUAAAGCGAGUGCAGGCGGUUCAAUAAGUCUGAUGUGAAAGCCUUCGGCUCAACCGGAGAAUUGCAUCAGAAACUGUUGAACUUGAGUGCAGAAGAGGAGAGUGGAACUCCAUGUGUAGCGGUGGAAUGCGUAGAUAUAUGGAAGAACACCAGUGGCGAAGGCGGCUCUCUGGUCUGCAACUGACGCUGAGGCUCGAAAGCAUGGGUAGCGAACAGGAUUAGAUACCCUGGUAGUCCAUGCCGUAAACGAUGAGUGCUAAGUGU